GGAAAUGAGCUCUGUGGCACAGAAACAGAAAGCUCCAGGAGAGACCAUCUUCUCCCGGCUCAAGGACUGGGAAAAGAAACUCCUAAUGCUCAGAGACAGUGGAGAACUCUCUCCCACCUUUCUUUUUAUUUCUCCAUUCUCUUGUGCCUCAGUUCCCAGGCAAUCUUGUGGUGGUGGUGGAGAUGGCAGCUGCAGUUACUGGAACCAGUAAGAAUGAAAACUCUGAGGGAAGAGUCUUCUCUGAUCUAUACAGCUUGCAGUUUCAAGAGGCACAGGGCUUCUGAGAGACGCUGAUUUUACUCCCGUGGAUAGUGAGAACUGCAAAAACUGUCACCGGGAACGACUCCAUCCAAAUCCCUGCACUAAAAGACUUGAUCAAUGACUUCUAGCUGCCUAAGGCCAUAUUCCUGGGAAGACCAAAGUCCCACCUGAGUUCCCAUCUGGAAAAGCUUAAGAAUGCCAAAAGAAUUUACUGAUGUUACAACAAACACCUGAGAUAGGUCCUUGACCUCUGUUUCUUAGAGUAUUUGUUAAGGAAAAAAAAGCUUACAAAUCUAAAUAUUUCCUUUGUCCCUUUGAGAUGCAUAUGUAUUUCCCACAAUCCUUGCAGUGUCUUUCUCAAAGACCUGAGACUUUUACAAUGUAAUCAUGUAAUUUUUAGAAAGGAUAGGGUCCCAGUCUCUCACUGUCUUUAGGAAGCCUAACUUCGAUAAAUGCCAGUUAGCAGGCACUGGCAACCUAAUCCAUUUUCAUUGACCCACCAUCUUAGCCACUUUUUGUAAUUUUUCACUUCUCUGACUCUGCUCUACCUACCACUGGCUUCCCGCUUCCUCAUUCCUCCUCGAAAAUGCCCAAAUCACCUCUGAACAUAUUGGAAUUGAGCUCAACUCUCCCCUACUACAUUAGUUAUUGAAUAAAAUUUGGUUUUGCUGCUUUAAUUAAUUA